GGCUGCGUGGUCUAAUGGUUAUGACGUCUGCUUCACAUGGGGGCGCUGAAGGUUCCCGGUUCGAACCCGGGCGCGGUCA